rnacentral:lncRNA from 1 species
UAAAAUAUCAAUUGGCAGGCUUAACUCAAUCAAAAAAACGUACAUUAAUACACUAUAAACGAAUAAAUUUGAUCUGCGAUAUCUGAAUGCAAAUGCACAGUUAAUAAAUUAUUAGGGACAAACAUUCAAGGCCAAAAAGCAAACAAACAAGUCCAAACAAAGCCAUGGCAAGUCACCACUGCGAAAUAUUUAACCCUUCGAAAAUAUUCACUUUAGAAAAAAAACCGGUUUUAAAAAAAUACAGGUA